rnacentral:lncRNA from 1 species
AAACACUGCAUUUGUUUACACCCCGAAUCUUGAAUCACAAUGGGGCAGCUUGGGCUGCCCAGGCCCGGCGAGGCCGGGCUUUCUCCUAGACACUGAAGUCUGUUCUCCGACCCAAGGGACACAAGAAAAGCUGGAGUAAAGUGGCAUGAUCUCGGCUCACUGCAGCCUCCGCCCCCGCCAGGUUCAAGUGAUUCUCCUGCCUCAGCCUCCCGAGUAGCUGGGAUUACAGGCGCAGGCCACCAUGCCCAGGUCACCCGUACUUCAUUUACCAGUCCUUGCUAAGGAUUAUUCAUUAAAACACACAACAGCAACAAUAACCACAAAAGCAACAAUAAAAAUACCUUUGAACUCACUCAAUCUUGAACUAUUGAACAUGCUAAGUCCGUGUCAUUGGCCUACUUAAUCAGCCCUCGAUUGUAACUUGAAGAAGCUUAUUGAUAAGAAAAUAAACUUCUCAUAAA